rnacentral:lncRNA from 1 species
GGCAUGAAUUUUUAAUUAUGUAUUCUGAAUUAUUUCCAAUUAGGGCUAUAUUUCAGGACAGAUGACCUUCCAAUAUUUCCUAUGUAUCUGGAAUACAAACUGCUCAGGCUGGAGGAUGUGGCACAUCUUUGAGGCACUCUUGUUACAGAAAUGAUGCUGUGCAAGUGUUCGAGAUACCAUGGUGGAGCUUUGGCUUGUGCAUUACUCGGGAGGACUUCAGCACAUGAUCCCGUAGCUGGUACAUGUCAUCAUCAGUGUUGGUUUUUCUUUUGUUCCUUCUGUAAUAUCUUAUGUCAAACCACUCCAAAGCCAUUUUUGUCUUCAUAGUUCUCUGAUAAGGAAGGACCUUCCCAUUUUAUGAGUAAAGCUAGCAACUCUAAUGGUGCUCAUUUCAGGGUGGCAAGUUGAAAAGCCUGAAUUAUUUCUAUUGUGUUAUUUUCUUAUAUUUUGUUAAUAUUUUGUUAAUUUUUAGAACAUUUGAAGCUGUUAAUCAUUUCUG